CCAGCAUGGCCGCAGUCAAAUGACUGAAACAAGUAAAAGAAAGAAAGAAUCGUAAAUCAGUUCAACCAAGGACCUAGCUAGCUAAGAUAAAUAGCAUCAAUGUCAACGAACGGCAUGGGAUCGAUGGGAGAUAACUCGUUUAUACUUCCGUUGUCAAUGUGUAGGCAUGUGCUUUUAGCUGAAACCUCCGGCAAGAUUCGAACUAAACUCGCUGCGACUUUGUCGACACAGAAAACCGGCGUUUGUUAUUUUCCUUUCAAAUAUAUUUACAGCAAUUGACAUUUUGCUGAAAAGGGUAACCAUUGGGAGUACUGUUGGGAAGGAAAAGAGAAAGGCUUAGUGAUUUGGUCUUUGCAUGAAUGCCAGAAUACAAAGGAGCCAAGAAAGAUUUACUUUUUGUUGUGGAAAGGUUGCUUGCUGAG